rnacentral:lncRNA from 11 species
UAAUAGUAUUGCGUGUAGUAUUUUUUGAAAUACUACAUGGUGUUACAUAAAUACUAUAUGAUGUUACACAUAGGCUAACAUCGUAAAUCUGGCGCUGGCAUCGCGAUUCGCUCCACAGUUACCAUCAAUCGAUUAUGAUCGAUAACACACUUCGGUUUUUUAAUAAUUUUUUGUGUGCGAUGAUGACGUUUCGUCUCAACCAAUUCUUCAUUGUGGAAAGAGGACAACAUAUAUAUUGCCCUCUUGUUACACCAUCUUAUUGUUAAUAAAAGGCUUGAGAAUGUACAAUACUCGUCAAUAGGCGGCAUCUUACGCAGAGCAACUGUAGUCGCCCGUAGUAGCGAAAAGGUUAAAGCUUCUCGAAUAGUCUGUCUUGGGUCGAUACGGGCAAUGGUCUAAGAAGAUAGUGGAAAACUGACACUCGAAGUCGUUACUCGAGUGUUGUUCUAUUUGUGUACCAAUUUCUGUACCAAUCUAUCGUAUUACAAAGGAAAGAAUCAGGCAAAAUGAAAACGCAUUCUGUUGGAUAUGAAAUAAUUAUAUUACUUGCGAAAAUAAGUUGUCGAUCAAUUCAUUGAUAUGAAGUUAAAUAAAGGUAUUAAAGUUUCUCAAAUGUAAAAUACUGUAAAUAUAAAAUACAUAGAACAUUUAAAUCGAUCUGA